rnacentral:rRNA from 1 species
GACGAAGGUGGCGAGCGUUACUCGGAAUUACUAGGCGUAAAGCGUGGGUAGGUGGCUCAGCAAGUCUGUUGUGAAAGCUCCUGGCUUAACUGGGAGAGGCCAAUGGAUACUGCUGGGCUUGAGUCGUGGAGAGGUCACUGGAAUUCCUGGUGUAGCGGUGAAAUGCGUAGAGAUCAGGAGGAACACCAAUGGCGAAAGCAGGUGACUGGACACGUACUGACACUCAGCCACGAAAGCUAGGGGAGCAAACAGG